rnacentral:rRNA from 1 species
UACGGGAGUGGCAAGCGUUAUCCGGAAUUAUUGGGCGUAAAGCGUCCGCAGGCGGCCUUUUAAGUCUGUUGUCAAAGCGUGGAGCUUAACUCCAUUUCGGCAAUGGAAACUGGGAGGCUUGAGUGUGGUAGGGGCAGAGGGAAUUCCCGGUGUAGCGGUGAAAUGCGUAGAUAUCGGGAAGAACACCAGUGGCGAAGGCGCUCUGCUGGGCCAUAACUGACGCUCAUGGACGAAAGCCAGGGG